UUCGUACGCUGUCCGGUCCAGCCUACUACAUGCAAGUCGAGCGAACAGAUAAGGAGCUUGCUCCUUUGACGUUAGCGGCGGACGGGUGAGUAACACGUGGGCAACCUACCUUAUAGUUUGGGAUAACUCCGGGAAACCGGGGCUAAUACCGAAUAAUCUAUUUCACUUCAUGGUGAAAUACUGAAAGACGGUCUCGGCUGUCGCUAUAAGAUGGGCCCGCGGCGCAUUAGCUAGUUGGUGAGGUAACGGCUCACCAAGGCGACGAUGCGUAGCCGACCUGAGAGGGUGAUCGGCCACACUGGGACUGAGACACGGCCCAGACUCCUACGGGAGGCAGCAGUAGGGAAUCUUCCACAAUGGGCGAAAGCCUGAUGGAGCAACGCCGCGUGAGUGAAGAAGGUUUUCGGAUCGUAAAACUCUGUUGUAAGGGAAGAACAAGUACAGUAGUAACUGGCUGUACCUUGACGGUACCUUAUUAGAAAGCCACGGCUAACUACGUGCCAGCAGCCGCGGUAAUACGUAGGUGGCAAGCGUUGUCCGGAAUUAUUGGGCGUAAAGCGCGCGCAGGCGGUCCUUUAAGUCUGAUGUGAAAGCCCACGGCUCAACCGUGGAGGGUCAUUGGAAACUGGGGGACUUGAGUGCAGAAGAGGAAAGUGGAAUUCCAAGUGUAGCGGUGAAAUGCGUAGAGAUUUGGAGGAACACCAGUGGCGAAGGCGACUUUCUGGUCUGUAACUGACGCUGAGGCGCGAAAGCGUGGGGAGCAAACAGGAUAGAAACCCCCUGGGUAGUUCCA
rnacentral:rRNA from 1 species